UCAGAAUGGAAUUUUGAGAGUUAUAGUAGUCUCGUGGUGUAAUUUGGGAUAUGUGUGUAAAAAUUUCAGGUCAUUUAGACGUGUUUUGGUUAGAUUUUUUAUCAAAAGCAGAAUUCGAAAGACUAUAGAAACUUAGGCUUGAAUCCGGCGUGUUUUGGUUGAUUCGAUGUUGUUUGAGGUGUUUUAAAGAUUUGUACAAGUUUGGAUAAGGUUUUCGGAUAAGUUGGUGCUUUCGGUUGAGGUCCCAAGGGGCUUAGGAUUAUUUCUGCUAGUUGACGAAGAAGUUAGAGUUUUUGGUGAGCUACAAAUUUUUACUACCUCUAGUAUUUCGGCACCUUGGGAAUGGGGAUCGUAGGUGCGAAGCCGCAUAUGCGAGAAGGGAGGUUGCAGAAGCAGAAAGUACCCGAGAAGGCAGGACCCAUAGAUGCGGUUGUAGGACCUCACCUGCGGAGGCGCAUAUGCAAAAUGUUCAGCGUAGUUGUAAUUUUUGGCAGGUUAUGUGAAGAACCACAGAGCCAGUUCACCAGACGCAAUGCAGUACCCGCAGUUGCGGUUGAAUGGCCACAGAUGCAGAAAUGACUGGGUAAGAAAGUAUAUAUUGUUUCCUUUGCGAAUUUUUGCUAAGUUCUUCAUUUUUAAGACAGGAAAGGGACUAAGGCAGUGGAAUUCAAGAGAAAUAAGGGAUAUUAAUUGGGUAAGUUCCCUAAGCUUCAUUAUUUAGUUUUAUGAUUAUUUUUCUAUUGUUUAUUCAUGGUGUUAUUUGAGAUUAAGGGAGAAAAAUUGGGGAUUAGGACUUGAGAUUAAGAGACUUUUAAAAAGAAAUUUGAGGGAUCAUUUGGACUCCGAUUUCAGUGUUCUUGGUAUGAAUAUCGUGGAUUGAUGAGGAUUCUGUUGAUGUAAAUUUUAACAGAUGCCGAUACGUGGACUUGGGAUCAGG
rnacentral:lncRNA from 1 species